GACGAACGCUGGCGGCGUGCUUAACACAUGCAAGUCGAACGGAAAGGCCUGCUUUCCCUUGUGGAUUGCGGGUACUCGAGUGGCGAACGGGUGAGUAACACGUGAGUGAUCUGCCCCCAACUUGGGUAUAAGCCUGGGAAACUGGGUCUAAUUCCCGAUAGGACUGCAGGGUGGUGCCUGUGGUGGAAAACGAUUUUCUAGUGGUUGGGGAUGAGCUCGCGGCCUAUCAGCUUGUUGGCGGGGUAAUGGCCUACCAAGGCGGCGACGGGUAGCCGGCCUGAGAGGGUGGACGGCCACAUUGGGACUGAGAUACGGCCCAGACUCCUACGGGAGGCAGCAGUGGGGAAUAUUGCACAAUGGGCGGAAGCCUGAUGCAGCGACGCCGCGUGGGGGAUGACGGCCUUCGGGUUGUAAACUCCUUUCGACCGCGAGGAAGCCACCUGGUUGGAAGGGUGGUGACGGUAGUGGUAGAAGAAGCACCGGCUAACUACGUG
rnacentral:rRNA from 1 species